ACAGUUGUUGAUUCGCUAACCUGUGAGGUAACAACUUGGGGAAUUGGUUCACCCUCAGCUUCCGGUAAUGGAGAUAAUACUUUAGCUCUUCUCUUGGUUUUCUUCAUGAUUCUGUUGCAAACAGCUUGAGGUUCAAUGAUUCCUUUUAUAGUAACCUGGUUUUGAGCCAUAUCUAUCACUACUCCCUCCACACCUCUAAUCUUCAUGAUGGACUUCUCAAUCUUCUUCGCACAUCCCACACAAUGCAGGUCCACUAACAAGACGAAGGGAGAUGGAGGUUUUGGCUCU
rnacentral:misc_RNA from 1 species